AAAGAGGAAGUUGAAUCAACAAUAUAAAAACAUAUAGCUUCCAUGAACUGGUGGAAUGACAAUUUCUUCACUUCAGAUCAAUUAUCUUGAUUGUUGUGUGCUUCUAUAGCAUAUACUUUUACUCGGACUAUAUGAUGGCCUUGUGGUGUUAAUUGUGGUACAUGGUGUGUGCAGCCGAUCCAAGACACUGUGGAUACUUGACAUAUUAAGUGUCUAAGAUAAUACAACUUUUAUUACUCUAUUGAGUCAAUGUUGUUAAGCGAUUUUGGUGCAAUUAUUUUAGUAUGAAAUCUUGAUUAGUGGCAAAUUGGGAUUAACGGUUUUUCUUAUAAGACUGCAUAAUUUUGUUGGGAUUCUAGGUGUUGUUAGUUUACAAUCAAUGUUUGUGGAAUUAUUUAUUAUCGGGUUAACAGUUUACAUUCUCCCAGCACAUGUAUUCAACUUAUAUUUGAACGCUUAUGGAUUUUGUUGUAGGGGUUAAUCGAACUCUUCAGUUCGAUUUCGCGGGAUGCUACAAGACAUGCUGAGUAAUGAAUUCAAUGUUGGUGCUUACAAGGUGUGUCUUUUGUUGCGUGAUGGUAUUGAACAAGACCUGCCAUUCCCCAGUUUGUAAAGAAUUUGUCAAAUCUCAUCACCAGGGGCUUGUAUUUCUCUAAUUUGGUUCUCUCAACAAAAUUAUGUAUCCUUUUUAAGAUACUGGUUGAGAAAGAAUAGUUGGAGUUCUGUGGUGGUGAUCACAAGUUAUUUCCCGGUGGGACGGUAUUCUUAUUAAAUGCCUUCACUUGAUUAUAUUUGCUUGAAAGUUUGACACUAACUAUCUAACAUGAUAGAGGUGGAGAUUGGUAAAAUGGGGAAUGAUCUUAUAGAGGAUGGAGGCUGGUUUUGGGGCUGGAUUGCUGGUAUCCUUUGUUAAUGGUAUGAGGGGCUUUAAUGUAAUUUUGGCUGGUGUCAACUUUGCCAUCUUUAGUGGUUUAACUUGGCGCUUAUAAAUGUCGAUUCCUGCUUGCCUUAAAGUCCAUGUGAAGACUGAUAACCAGGGACGAACCUGUAUGCAUAAUGUCUAUCAAGUGACACUGGUAGAAAAGUUUGUGUUGUAUAGUUUCUGUUAUAUGACUUUUAUGGUUUGUCAUUGAAAUCGACACAUGUCUUACAUCGACGUGAAGGAUGUUUAAUUAACUGGCCCAAGGAAUAGAGUAACAUAAGAGGCAAGUGGUAACAAACACUCUUAUGUAUAUUGAUUAGACUAAGAUUUGGUUUUUUGUUUAUGUAGGAAAUAAUUUCUUAUUUCUUUAGAUGAAUCGCUUUCGGUUAUAUCUUGAAGUAUGUUGGGUUUUUAUUGCACUACCUCUAUCUUGAAGUAAGUUACGGUGUGUGUGGAAAGUCAUUGCAUCUGUGUAUAAAGAACUGCUGAAAUAUGGUACUCAUAUCGAAGACAAGCUGGUUUGUUCGGUUGGGACUGGGUCUUCGGCCUCUUUUUGGUAUGAGGUGUGGGCUACAAAAGAUUCGGGAAUUAGUGAUUAUUUGUUGUUUUGUUUCAUCUGAUUGAUGUUAGUUUAAUAGUUUGUUCAUAUAAACAGUCAUUGAAUUAAUAUCAGUUGAUUUU